AAUGAACGCUGGCGGCGUGCCUAACACAUGCAAGUCGAACGGCAGCACAGUAAGAUUUUGCUCUUCCUGUUGGCGGGUGGCGGGCGGGUGACGCGUGCAUCCUAAUCUUCUUUUUCGGGGAGGAUUACGUAAGUCAGGUUACUCUAGUACAGCAUAUGAUGUACCGGUGAGAGCAGUGGAGCUUCUCGGCUUUGGCGGUUGGAUUAGCUGAGGUCGCACUAGCUAGUUGGGAGGGUAAAGGCCUACCAAGGCGACGAUACGUAGCCGGCCUGAGAGGAUGAUCGGCCACAUUGGAACUGAGACACGGUCCAGACUCCUACGGGAGGCAGCAGUCGGGAAUCUUCGGCAAUGGGCGAAAGCCUGACGCAGCGACGCCGCGUGGGUGAAGAAGGCCUUCGGAUCGUAAAGCUCUGUUGUUGGGGAAGAACAGCUGUAGGAUUAUACGUAGCCGUCUUGACGGUACCUAAUGAAAAAGCACCGGCUAACUACGUG
rnacentral:rRNA from 1 species